rnacentral:snRNA from 1 species
AAAACAAAGCAUUGCGAUGGUCCC